rnacentral:rRNA from 1 species
UACGGAGGGGGCUAGCGUUGUUCGGAAUUACUGGGCGUAAAGCGCACGUAGGCGGCUUUGUAAGUUAGAGGUGAAAGCCCAGGGCUUAACCCUGGAAUUGCCUUUAAGACUGCAUCGCUAGAAUCGUGGAGAGGUGAGUGGAAUUCCGAGUGUAGAGGUGGAAUGCGUAGAGAUCCGGAAGAACACCGGUGGCGAAGGCGGUCUGCUGGGGUGAGGCUGACACUGAGGCGCGACAGCGUGGGGAGCAAACAGG